CUGUUCUGAACAACAGAGAAGAAGAUGGACAGCAUGAGACUGCGAAUCAAACAGAUGAUGGACGUCUCCAGGAUUAAAGCGACUCUCGGUGUUGUUGAAGACGAGAGGAAUCGCUACAUGGAAAGUCUCCUCGCUGAACAGAAAGCCAGACAGGAGCUGGAGGAGCAAUAUCAGAAGGUCAUGCAUGACC